AUACUACUACCUCCGUCUGGAAAUACUUGUCCUAAAAAUGAAUAUAAUGGAUGUAUCUAUAAUUAAAAUAAAUCUAGAUACAUUUAUUUCUAGAACAAAUAUUUCUGAAAGGAGGGAGUACAGU
rfam:Hordeum vulgare subsp. vulgare, WGS project CAJW01000000 data, contig: morex_contig_139763